UACGUAGGGUGCGAGCGUUGUCCGGAAUUAUUGGGCGUAAAGAGCUCGUAGGCGGUCUGUCGCGUCUGCUGUGAAAUCCCGAGGCUCAACCUCGGGCUUGCAGUGGGUACGGGCAGGCUAGAGUGCGGUAGGGGAGAAUGGAACUCCUGGUGUAGCGGUGAAAUGCGCAGAUAUCAGGAGGAACACCGAUGGCGAAGGCAGGUCUCUGGGCCACUACUGACGCUGAGAAGCGAAAGCAUGGGGAGCGAACAGG
rnacentral:rRNA from 1 species